UCUCUCUCUCUCUUCGUGCUUUGAAUGGAGGAAAAUAGGAGAUUGCAGCUAGCGUCAGUUUCAAAACCCUGUACGCCAACUCACUUGAUGCAUAAGAAUCAAUUACAAGAAUAUGCUCAAAGAUUGGAUAUUCAAUUCCUAGUUUACCAUUCAAUUAAUGAAGGAUUUCCCCAUGCGCCGAAAUUUUCAGCAUCCGUUGUAGUUAGUGGAAAAGAAUAUGAGUCAACUUAGACAUUUCCACAUAAAAAAGAUGUUGAGCAGGAUGUUGUAAAAAUUGCUCUGAAGAGUAUAUUCAAAAGGAUAAAGAAUGAGGCGUAUUCUUUUAUUUAUGAGGAUACGUUAUUUUGUAAGUCUAUCUUGACCGAAUUUGCAGUGAAGAUGAAUUUGGAAAUGCCAAAGUAUAAUACUCAGUCAAUAGAAAGACUGUCAGCCUUCGUCUCUUCUCUCAUUUUCAAUGGGAAAUGUUACAUAGGGGAAGCCCAAAAAAACAAGAAAGAGGCUAAACAAAUGGUGGCACGAACUGCUAUUCUAUCCUUUCUAGGUUUGUUUUAUACCUUGUUAUUCUGUAUAAAUAACUAUCUAAAUUUUACUUAUUUGAUUAAUUUGAAUGCAAUGUUUUUAGGGAGCCAUUUUUUAUGCAUGCCACCCCCUUUUGACUUACAUACUUUUGUAUAUGUAUUUCAAAAUUUAUAGUGUAGGCCACACAUAUAUCCUGCGUUCUAAUUAGUUAAGCAUACAUAUAUUGAUAUGUCCUCCAUAAA